AGGGCAAUAUCACGUUGAAACAUCAUAUUCCGGUGUGAUCGCCGAAGUUAAGCAACAUCUAGCCUGGUCAGUACUUAGAUGGGUGACAUCUUGGGAAUAUCAGUUGCUGUAA